ensembl:lncRNA
CGGUAUCGGCAAGUACUCAGAUCCAAGUAUCGGUAUCGGAUCGGUUUGAAAAAAUUGGUAUCGUUGCAUCCCUACCUGAAAUCUAUCCAAUAAAGAAAGCAGAUGCCAUUUCAGUUGCUAAAUGUCUGUGUAAUCACUUCAUUCCAACCUAUGGCAUCCCAACUCUGAUAAGGUCAGACAAUGGGACCCAUUUUGUAAAUGAUGUAAUUAACAAAGUCUCAGAAGCACUAGGAUUUAAUAUCAAAAACCACUGUGCCAAUCAUCCACAAAGUGCAGGAUUAGUAGAAAGAACAAAUGGCACAAUCAAGCAGAGACUUAGGAAGUAUAUGGAAGAAACAGGAAGACCGUGGCCUGAAUGUGUAGGCCUGGUAAAAAUGUGGAUGAGAUUAACACAAGGAUCUCAGAAGCUCACACCAUUUGAGAUCAUCCAUGGUAGACCAUUUCCACUACCUAUAACGAGUGAACCUUUAACUAAAUCUUCUAGAGAAACCACAUUAGCAGAAUGGAUGGCUAAACUGCUAGAAAACAAAGAAAUCGUUCUGAAUAAUAAACUGCCAGAGGACUUUUCACCAGUGUCUUGCAGGUUGAAACCAGGUGAUUGGAUCCUAAUCAAGGUGCUCCAGAGGAAAAACUGGAGUUCACCCCGUUGGGAAGGACCAUACCAAGUGCUUCUAACCACUCCCACAGCAUGUAAGAUCGCGGAGCGACCAUCCUGGAUACAUCAAAGUCACUGCAAGAAAGUGAGUGAGAGCAUAGACUAACAGACGCCGAUUCCCCUACCUUCUGGUGAUCCAUAAAGUGGAGGAAGGGCCGAUUGGGUACACCCCGCCCUUUACUUCUUGCUUGUGGUCUACUUACCAGAGGAGCUAGGUGUAUCAGGUCAUCAUGAAGCUGCUUUUGAUCUCAUUGACAUUGGCAGCCCUGGUUGCAGGAUGUCUAAUACUGCUCAAGAAGAAAAAUGGACCUCGCAAGAAAAGAGCCUGGACACAUGAUAAUUCACAUCAUUAUGCUAUGACACAGGAUAAAAUCCACCCCUGGAUGAAUAACGCAUGGUAUCGAUAUAUACAUGACAGCACACCCAGGAAAGAUUGCUAUGUUUGCUCCUACAUGCCCACAACGACACAAUAUGCCACCUUGUACGCGAAGGCAAUGAACAUAACUCAGGCAAAGUGUGCCGCAAGUUAUGCCAGCCUUGGGUAUUAAUACCAGGGAAUUGUGAUCAACCAUGGUGAACCUUUCCAGAUAGGACUACGAAAUGGCACAUGUGACGAAUGGUUCUGGGUUGACCUGAAAGUGAAGCACAGGAGUAAGGCUGGAUCAUUCCCAGUCUUUCUCGAAAACAAUGGGAAUUUGAACCACACCCUAUGCUACCGUCAAGAGAACGGAUCCACGCCAAUGGGAAACACCACCAACUGCAAAGCAGUACAGACACACGCUCCUGGAGGACCAGUGAAGAGCAGCAACAUCUCGAAUGGCACCUAUUGGGUGCAAGGAAUGGCCUGGCUCUGUGGCCAACGAGCCUAUUUUAUCCUUCCUAAGAAUUGGACAGAGAAAAACAGGAAAACGCCUAAGGAACUUGAAGCUAGAAGAUUAUGCCAUAUUCACGAGGACGAAGACGUGCAGAAGAGUUGUCGAAAGGGGAAGCAUGCCUUUGCCCUUGUCAGAGUUAUGAAACUAUACAUUGUGUAAACGAGUGUAUAAAUAAAGAAGGCAGACUACAGCUGGGUGUGAGUCUCACUCAGAGCUCUCACCCAUGUACAUGUCUUAACAAGCUUGUCGUCUCUCUCCUUACUUACUGAAACGAAAUGCUCUUGACACAAAGGAAGAAGAAAGGGGGAAGGUGUGUUAGGAGGCAGCGAGAGAGAAGAAAAGGCAGGAGUUUUGAUGUGAGAGUAGGGACUUUAAGUCUAGAGAGUAUGAUUGUUAAAGAGAUAGAGAGCUGGCUUCUACCAUGGUGUAGAUACGAACAGAAAUGAGUAUUAGGCAUUUAACAUCAUUUAUAUUCUGCUAAAAUUUCAUUUUUAAUAUAAAUGCAAUGUAUUAUGCAUUUAAUAUAAAUGCAUAAUUUAUUGAAGAAAAUAAGAACAAC